rnacentral:rRNA from 1 species
AGCAGCCGCGGUAAUUCCAGCUCCAAUAGCGUAUAUUAAAGUUGUUGCAGUUAAAAAGCUCGUAGUUGAAUUUCGGGAUUGACACAUCGGUCGUGCCUUAAGGGGUAUGAACUGGUGUAGUCAAUUUCUCACCUUCUGGAGAACCGCGAUGUCCUUAAUUGGGUGCCGCGGGGAACCAGGACCUUUACUUUGAAAAAUUAGAGUGUUUAAAGCAGGCAUUUUGCUUGAAUACAUUAGCAUGGAAUAAUAAAAUAGGACGGAUGAUUCUAUUUUGUUGGUUUCUAGGACCACCGUAAUGAUUAAUAGGGAUAGUUGGGGGCAUUAGUAUUCAAUUGUCAGAGGUGAAAUUCUUGGAUUUAUUGAAGACUAACUACUGCGAAAGCAUUUGCCAAGGAUGUUUUCAUUAAUCAAGAACGAAAGUUAGGGGAUCGAAGACGAUCAGAUACCGUCGUAGUCUUAACCAUAAACUAUGCCGACUAGGAAUCAGACGAUGUUAAUUUUUUAAUGAACUCGUUUGGCA